GUGAGGAUAUACUGCCACAACCUCGAACCAUGUACUUCUUCCGUGAUCAGGAGAAGAGGAAUCUGAAUAGAAGAUUAUUUUCAUCUGAAACAGCAUGUCGUCGAUCAUAUGCAAAUUUCUCAUGGCUGGACAGCAUCCAUAGGACGCAUGUCAUCAAGUGAUUACUGAUUAUUUCAGCAUUCUAUGGCAGAUUAACUGUUUAAAUGCUCUAGGUUUGGAACAGAACUCUUGAUGGAAGGACGAGCUUGAGGUUACAUUUAUCGAACCCCACAAGGUUCAGUGAUAUGUUUGGGACUAGUCAAAUGUUCUCAACCAAGAUUCAGCAACUUGGUGCUGCUAUUGGCAACAAUCAAGCGGGAGUUUCGCCUGUUUGAACCGGCCUGUGUUCAUCGUAAACUAAUCGAGCAAACGGCCACGAAUUACAGUAUAUCAGGAGGAGAGUCCGGGCCAAUGUGAAGAAAGGUGAGAUUGGCAACUUUUGCAUAUGGAGGAUCAAAAUCACAUCGACCACAACUCCUCCCAGACUCACACAUUCAAAACUUAUUGCUAGCUAGACUUUCACUGAACAGGAGGUAUAAGAAUCAAGCCCAAUCCAUGUAGGAAAAUGUUCAUUUUCACUGCAAAUCAGCAUGUUUGGCAGGAUAUGAAAAGUGAGGGGAAAAGAAUUCGAUCUUGGGAAGGAAUUGAUGCGUAAAUUAACUUCACUCUUGGGACUGAGGGAAAAGUGGAAGAGAGGAUUGGACAGGAAGUUGAGCAAUUGCUAUUUUUGCCUCUAUUUCCCAAUGUUGGUGAUGUACUCUAAUCUAAAUUGAC